AGGCUCCUGCUACCUUCUGCGGGCGGAAAGUGGGUGUCCCGGGAAGGGACGGACCCCAUCUCUACUAUGCCGCAAGCGCGUUGUGUCAACAGGCUGGCUGUGGACGGCCCGAUGAGCGUGACUUGAUUUUGUACUUUCUGCCACCUCCAAUUUUCUCAGAACGCAACAUAAGAAAAAGAACUAACAGCGGUGUGUACAGGAUUGCUUCGAAGAUAUGGGUGCUGAUGUUUGGUCAUUGCUAUGGGGGAGGUCGCAGAGCUGAGAGUUUCGGAGGACGCUUUCUGUCUUGUCUAGCUGUUCAACCCAGGGUCCAGACUUUUCAAGGGCUACUCUGUUAGUCCGAACUACUCACUGCUGACACUUGGCACCUAGUCUUCACUCUGGGACCCCAGAGACAUUCUUCCCUGCUGUGACUAUGCAUGGGGAGGUGUGUCCACUGCCCGGUAUUUCAGCUUCACAAGAGGUCCCACAGGCGUCUCUCACUUGAAGGACAAGGGCCAGGGAGACCAUGUCAAUGGGAGUUACCUGUAAGGUCACGUGCUGCUGCUUCUGGUUCACUCUCUGACCUCUCCUGAAGAAGCCAAGCUGCAGAGAUGAGCUACAAAGGACAUUCUCAGAGCUGUCAAAAAGGAUCAGAGGAGAAAGGCUUCAAAGAAGACUCCGAGACCAGACCAGCUGUUUGGAAAAAACAGAAGCCAGCUGAGCUGUCUGGAAGAAGUUUAGAUCAACUGAGGCACCUGGAAAGGACAAUCCAUCUCCAACCUGCUGAGCCUCAUGAGUGCUGUGCGUUCCAGGCACCCAGCUUUGUGAGCUGUGGCCCAUGCUGGGGUAGGCUUUGGUGAUACUGCUGGUUUUGAGUCUUUUCUACUCCUGUAAGUAAUUCUUCAUCCAUACUCUUGUGAGUAACCCCAAUAAAACUCAUUGGUCCACCAAACUAGACCUUGGUGGUAUCAUAUUUGGUCUAUUUUGGGUUCCCAGUUUGGUGUGAGUGAACAUGGGUGUUGCAUCUCCCCCCAAAAAAGUUUUGUCACACAAGUGGUAUCAUCCUAAAGACUGGGGUGCUGGGGUGGAAUAAAAAGGGAAAGUCAGUCAGCCUCUCCCUCCCUGCCCGGUCCCCGCUCCUCCCUCUCUAGUGCUCACAGGCUUGCUUUCUCCACCACUCUCUCUCUCCUCCCUCCCUUGUUUCCUUCUCUCCCCCCCCGCCCCCCCCCCAUCUUUUGUUAGGAGAUAGUUUCCUGAGUUCAGCCAUCUCAGGAAUGAAUUCCACUUUGUUGGCAGGAUCAAAACUGAGCUCCUAUUCCCAGUCCCCAGAACCCAACUCCUGUCCUGCUUCUUCAGAUGUUUCGUGUUUGUCUGCUAAGCAGUAAAGGGUAUAAAGAGGGAAGAUGCUGUGACCCCAUUAUCUAAACUAAGGCAUGAAAGUCCUAAAUGUGCUGUCUGCCUCAACUUAAUUGAGUACAUGCAACUUGCCACUCCUUUGUUCCCUGGUCAUUCUAAAAUUCCAGAUCAGAGUCCAAGAAGGGAUUUGAGCCAGCAGCUAACUCAAGGUGACUCAGAUAAGUCUCAGUUACCAAUGUUAACUUCCUUGUUUAACCCCCUGUGUUAAAAUAUGAUUGGUCAAUGGAACAGUUCACUCCAACAUCCUCCCUUGCUUUGUGUUUCUGUCCUAUAAAAAUGUGCAAUCUCCGUUUGGGAUACAGUUCAGUUCCUGAACUGGCCGCCUCCCUGAGCUCUCAGAAAAUAAAACCUUCAUUUCUAAGCUUC
rnacentral:lncRNA from 1 species